GACCUUGAAAGUGAGGGAGGUUGACCCGUCCCCUUAGACCAAAGAUAAGGAGGGAACUUCUACUGAAUUUAUGUUGCCAGAGCCAGGCGGGAGGACAAUAGAUUUAUUAUACCGAAGACGUAGGUGGCAGGCAGGUCAUAUCACGAUAGGAUACAGUUUAUGGGACCAAAGGGGGCUGUUCAACCUUCUUCACUCACACCAUGGUGGGAUGAUCUAUAUAAUCUUGUGUAUGUCUUUUUGUGUUAGAACAUUCUCCUUGACUCUCUGAGCGGAGCAUUGUUCCCGGAAGAUCUUCUGAAAUAAACUGUUUAAUUUGCUGCAAA